UACGAAGGGGGCUAGCGUUGCUCGGAAUUACUGGGCGUAAAGGGCGCGUAGGCGGAUAGUUCAGUUGGGGGUGAAAGCCCGGGGCUCAACCUCGGAACUGCCUUCAAUACUGGCUAUCUUGAGUACGGGAGAGGUGUGUGGAACUGCGAGUGUAGAGGUGAAAUUCGUAGAUAUUCGCAAAGAACACCAGUGGCGAAGGCGGCUCACUGGCCCAUUACUGACGACUGAGGCACGG
rnacentral:rRNA from 1 species